rfam:Corynebacterium casei LMG S-19264, complete genome.
CUGUUACAACUUCGCUGAUGUGCGACGGAGUCCGUUGUUGUAAUAGAGAGUUUGAGACGUCCAUCGCACCGUACGACUCCGACAUUCGUACGGCCCGAACACGGGAGAGAACGCUGAGCGUUACAAC